rnacentral:rRNA from 1 species
UGGACCUGAUAUCAGGCAAGAUU